CGCUAAAGCUUCAUCUGAAAGGACGUGGAAUUUUUGAGUUCAGUAAAGGCCUGUUUAAGACUAAUGUUCUGUGUAACAAAUAUACAGAGU